rnacentral:rRNA from 1 species
UGCCGGGUAGCUAACUACGGAAGAGAUAAGCGCUGAAAGCAUCUAAGCGCGAAACUCGCCUCAAGAUGAGACUUCCCGGAGGUUUAACCUCCCUAAAGGGUCGUUGCAGACUACAACGUUGAUAGGUCGGGUGUGCAAGCGUAGCAAUGCGUUCAGCUAACCGAUACUAAUUGCCCGUGCGGCUUGAUCCUAUAGCCUU